CAGUUUUUAUUGGACCCUGUUCCAAGGGGUGUGGAGGACAUGGUUACUGCAAGGAGAGUGGAUGCAUAUGUGACUUUGGCUACAGUGGUGACACCUGUGAGGAGACAACAGCAUCACAUCCAACAUCACUUGUGGAAAUGCUGUCACCUUCAGCAGACCAGGUUCUACAAGCACGGUUUAUGAGCAUCCAGGGGGCGACACUGAGCUAUGCUUGUGGCGUUGUGGCCAGUGGGAAGGCACUGGUGUUCAAUGGAGAUGAGAUGAGAAAGGCAGAAACUGUUGAUCUUAAC